rnacentral:rRNA from 1 species
AUUGAACGCUGGCGGCAGGCCUAACACAUGCAAGUCGAACGAGUGGCGCGCGGGUGAGUAAUGUCUGGGACACCGCCCGAUGGAGGGGGAUAACCAGUGGAAAGUGUAUCUAACACCGCAUCACCUGGGGUGCGCCCAUAUGGGAUUAGCUAGUAGGUGGGGUUAUGGCGCACCUAGGCGACGAGCCCUCGCUGGUCUGAGAGGAUGACGCGCCACACUGUAACUGAGACACGGUCCAGACUCCUACGUGAGGCAGCAGGGGUGAAUAUUGCACAAUGGGCGCAAGCCUGAUGCAGCCAUGCCGCGUGUAUGAAGAAGGCCUUCGGGUUGUAAAGUACUUUCAGCGGGGAGGCGUUACCCGCAGAAGAAGCACCGGCUAACUCCGUGCCAGCAGCCGCGGUAAUAC